rnacentral:lncRNA from 1 species
CCCCACCCCAACCCAGUGGAACCAGGAAGUGGCCCGGCCCCUUAGAGUUGCUUGGCCUGCAGGCUGGAACGCUGUCCCCAGAAGUAUCUGGAUCCUGGGCCGGGGCCCUACUUGGCCCCCAGCCGUGCAAGCCAGAGGCCUCCUCCCGACUCCGGUUUGCGGCGCAGCCGCUUGCCCAUGCCUGCUGCCUGUGGGGUCUCGGGCCAGCCAAGCGCAUGGGGCCACCCUACAGCACGAGCUGGCGAGUCGGAGGAACGCGGCCUUCGAUGCCCAGACAGGCCGGCGCAAGGAACCAGCUCCACAUGGGGUGACGAGGAGGCAGCUGGGACCCUAAGGCCUCAGUCUGUGCCGACUGAUCCUUCCUUCCCCCGUCAGGUUCCCUUUAGCCACGGUCUGGGGUUGGCCCCUGCAGCUGCACGGCCCGGGGAAGACGCCGGGCUGGCAUUUGGUCCCCUUGGGUACCCUCCAGGUAGGGCGGAAGCGGAGCAGGUCGGGGAUGCUGGGAGGCCCCGCAAUGCCCCAGGAGAGCAAACCACAAGGGGAGCCCCCUUCCCGAGAUGGCCAAGCUGGGUUCGCCACGCCCGCCUGCCCCGGGGGGCCGGGCCCCCGCCUGGUACUCACCCCGCUCCGCAGAGGCCUCACCCUCGCGUGGUGGCAGCCGCCCCCUCUCAGGCAGUGCUCCCCAUCUGGAGAGGCCGCGGCACUAAUCAGCCGCCUGGCGUGGUGCGGCCGAGUGGCUGGGGUUUAAUUGACACCAGGUGGCCCCUCCCCAGGGGCAGGCUGGGAGGCGGCUCUGCCCGGCAGGGAGGCCAAGCCCCGGGCAGGGGGGCCCCGGCACCCAGGCCUGGCCGGUUCAGGCCUCCCCUGGGGAGAGCAGGGCAGUCAGGCAGCUGCGGGCCACCCCUCCCCUCCUCUCCCACCGGCCGCCUCCGUAGCACACUCCAGCCCUGCUUUCCUAGGCUCUGACCUUUCUUUCAUUUCAGAGGCAGCAGGGACAGUGACAGCGUCUGCCCAGGAGGAGGGUGGCUCAGGUUUCCCCCCUGACUGGCUGGGGGCAGCCAGGAGUGAUGCACUGGGUCCACAGCGGCCAGGCCCUGUCGGCUGGCCCCUCAGGAGGGACACCCGUGGGCGUCGCGGACCAUCCCCC